AUGGGGGGAAAACUGCUGGGACUGGCUGUGGACAAGAUGGCUGCCGGCCCUGCCAACAAGAUGGCUGCCCCAAGGCCAGGGCUCCAGGGGGACAAGGGAGCUGUGGGAUCAGACCUCUCCUGCCUCACAGGGCUACCUGCAAUUCCCAGCAUGAUGGAUGAUCCGGAAUGGAUCCUCAGAAACUGAAUCCAUCAGCUGCAGGCCCCCUUCUGAAACACCAAGUGGAGGAGGACUGCAAGCUCCACACUCAGGGCACUACUCAGAACACAACAAUGCAUGCAGGGGAAUGGCAAAGCUUCAGCGCAGGGACUGCUGGUCCCCAUCACGUCUAAUGGCAACAAGUACCCCAAAAUGUGCCCCAUCCCCUUGUCAACAGCACUGACCCAGCUCUCCAAGAAGGGAGCGCUGCACUGCUGCACUGAGUAAUGCCACACACGCUGCCUGCUCCUGACCUCUGUCUAACACAGUGGAGCUCCAGCAACUGCAGCGCAAGGCCUUGGCUUGUCCAGCACUCACUGUCCCUGUGGCAGCAACAAAACAAAACUUCCUUCACCUUCAGAAUUCCAGCAUGUGCCUAAAGCCAGGGGCCCUGAAUUCAGUUACUGCUGAAUAAGUGAUCUUGAAAAAGUGCUUGAAUUGCAAAUUAUCUUUUGGCCUAGUAACUAAUUGAUAAUCUCCAAAAUAUUUAAAUAAUUCUAUGACAGCAUGCUACCACUACAUCUAUUUAAAUGCCUUUGAUUUGAAAGAGGGAUAUUAAUUGUGAUACUGUUUAACACAAUAUAUCAAUAAAAGUUGAAAGUAAGAAACAAUAAAAUUUUAGACACCAAAUGAAACAGGAGUCACUAAUAAAUGAAUACUUUUAUUUGCUCUA